rnacentral:lncRNA from 1 species
UUGCAACUACCACUCUCCUCAUUCAUCUCUCUCCUCUACCAAAAAACCCACUACCACUUUGUUCAGAUCAAAAAACCCAGAUCUAUCUCGUUUGCGAUAUGGGGUGGUUUUGCGGUGCACUUAGGGUUCGUUUGAGGUUCAGAUCUAAACUUUGGUGAUGACGGUGGAUGAAGGUACCACUGAGUUUCAAACCUCAUGAAGACGGAUCCUCUUUAAUUUAAUUUGAAGAAAAUUGCACAUGAAGAAGAUGAUGAAUGAGAUCUCGAAGAGAUGCUGAAGGUUUUUGUUUGAACUAGUCAAAGAUCGAGUGAAAUUACACAUCUUUUUUACGUUUUUGAGGAGACUGAAGGUUUUUGUUCGAAAUUUUUGUUCAAGAAGGUGAACAAGUAUGUUUAUUUUUCAGCUUUGUUUGCAAAUCUACACUUUUUUAGUCUGCAUUUUUGUUGUGUUUUGUGGAUCUGCAAUUUUUCUUUGUUGUUCAAGAAGAUGAAGGGUUUUAAGUUUUUAUCAGUACCGAUCAAACAAUUUGUUUUAAGUUUUUGUUCAUUGUAUUAA